rnacentral:rRNA from 1 species
UACGGGAGGCAGCAGUGGGGAAUAUUGCACAAUGGGCGCAAGCCUGAUGCAGCCAUGCCGCGUGUAUGAAAAAGGCCUUCGGGUUGUAAAGUACUUUCAGUCGUGAGGAAGGUGUUAAGGUUAAUAACCUUAGCAAUUGACGUUAGCGACAGAAGAAGCACCGGCUAACUCCGUGCCAGCAGCCGCGGUAAUACGGAGGGUGCGAGCGUUAAUCGGAAUUACUGGGCGUAAAGGGCACGCAGGCGGUUAAUUAAGUUGGAUGUGAAAUCCCCGGGCUUAACCUGGGAAUGGCAUUCAAGACUGGUUAGCUAGAGUCUUGUAGAGGGGGUAGAAUUCCGAUGUGUAGCGGUGAAAUGCGUAGAGAUGUGGAGGAAUACCGGUGGCGAAGGCGGCCCCUGGGACAAAGACUGACGCUCAUGUGCGAAAGCGUGGGGAGCAAACGAGGGAUUAGAUACC